rnacentral:rRNA from 1 species
UACCAGCACCCCGAGUGGUCGGGACGAUUAUUGGGCCUAAAGCGUCCGUAGCCGGUUCUGCAAGUCUUCCGUUAAAUCCAGCCGCUCAACGGAUGGGCCGCGGAGGAUACUAUAGGACUAGGAGGCGGGAGAGGCAAGCGGUACUCAGUGGGUAGGGGUAAAAUCCUUUGAUCCAUUGAAGACCACCAGUGGCGAAGGCGGCUUGCCAGAACGCGCUCGACGGUGAGGGAUGAAAGCUGGGGGAGCAAACCGG